ACGCACGUGGUCCGGCAUUACAAGGUGAAGCGGGAGGGCCCCAAGUACGUGAUCGAUGUGGAACAGCCGUUCUCUUGCACCUCCCUGGACGCCGUGGUCAACUAUUUCGUGUCGCAUACCAAAAAGGCGCUGGUGCCAUUCCUGUUAGACGAGGACUACGAGAAGGUGCUAGGCUACGUGGAAGCCGAUAAGGAGAAUGGCGAGAAUGUGUGGGUGGCGCCCUCCGCUCCGGGCCCAGGUCCUGCACCCUGCACAGGUGGCCCCAAGCCGCUGUCACCUGCGUCUGUGCCUGUGUCUAGCCAGGACAAGCUGCCCCCACUGCCCCCACUACCGAACCAGGAAGAGAACUACGUGACCCCCAUUGGAGAUGGCCCAGCUGUUGACUAUGAGAACCAAGAUGUGGCUUCCUCUAGUUGGCCAGUCAUCCUGAAGCCAAAGAAGUUGCCAAAGCCUCCUGCCAAGCUUCCAAAGCCACCCGUUGGACCCAAGCCAGGUUGGGGUCCCCCCCAUAUCCCACCCUCACCUGAUGGCAGGCCAGCCUCAGCCCUCAUCUGACUUUUUUUUUUUUUUUUGAGACAGUCUCACUCUGUCACCCAGGCUGGAGUGCAGUGGCGCAAUCUUGGCUCACUGCAAGCUCCGCCUCCUGGGUUCACGCCAUUCUCCUGCCUCAGCCUCUCCAGUAGCUGGGACUACAGGUGCCCGCCACCAUGCCCAGCUAAUUUUUUUUUUGUAUUUUUAGUAGAGACAGGGUUUCACCAUGUUAGCCAGGAUGGUCUUGAUCUCCUGACCUUGUGAUCCGCCCACCUCGGCCUCCCAAAGUGCUGGGAUU
rnacentral:sRNA from 1 species